rnacentral:rRNA from 1 species
AUUGAACGCUGGCGACAGGCUUAACACAUGCAAGUCGAACGAGUGGCGGACGGGUGAGUAAUGCUUGGGAAUCUAGCUUAUGGAGGGGGAUAACUACGGGAAACUGUAGCUAAUACCGAGUACCAACGGAUGAGCCAAAGAUGGAUUAGGUAGUUGUUGAGGUAAAGGCUCACCAAGCAGACGAUCUCUAGCUGGUCUUAGAGGAUGACCAGCCCAACUGGUACUGAGACACGGCCCAGACUCCUACGGGAGGCAGCAGUGGGGAAUCUUGUGCAAUGGGGGCAACCUGACGCAGCCAGGCCGCGGGAAUGAAGAAGUCCUUCGGGUUGUAAAGUUCUUUCGGUAGCGAGGCGUUAACUACAGAAGAAGCACCGGCUAACUCCGUGCCAGCCGCCGCGGUAAUAC